GUUGUUUACUACCGGUGUUGGUUACUUUCUUAUAUGCAAUGAAAUGAAGCGUGAAAUUUUCACUGAAUCACGAGAAAGGAGUAAACUUUAUACAUGCAAAUUAUUUCUUUGGUUGAAAUAAAGUGUUAACCAUGUUCUGGAGAGCAUUCUGUUGAAAAAUCUUAUAUGUAAAUUGGUCUGCAGAUGACACUUCAGCAUUAGAACAAAAGAUAUUAAGCUUUGAUGAAAAAGGAAGGAUGGAGGAAAAAUGGACCAAAACAGACUUAAACAGACCUUCAAAUGAACUCUAAAAGGUGCA